GGCCGUGUGGUCUAGUCGUAUGAUACCUCCUUCGGGCUUCCCCGAGCUUCGAAAGCUCUCUAUGGAGGUGGUCCUGGGUUCAAUUCCCAGCUCGGCCC